UAGAAUUUAGAAAGUUAGAACUCAGAAAGGCAAUUAGGGCAAAUGGCGUCGGCGUCUCGGCGAUAUUUUCAGCUUCAGGCUUUCAAUUAGGGUUAUAGUUUCAGAAAUUCAAAAACGGGCAAACGAAGACCGGCUGUUGUGACUUUAAAAAGAUCGGUUGUUGUGACUUCAAAGAAUCAAAGCAUUGUUUGAAGUUUGAACUUUGAUGUAUAGUUGCAACUUGCAAUAUGAGUGGUGCUCCUAAAGUACACUCUCAUAUUUGGGAAUACUUUGAGGUGAAAGAAGAUAACGGAGAAGUUCGCAAAGUAGAGUGCAAACAUUGUGCUCGAAUCUAUAAUGUCCAUUCAAAGAGGGAUGACACAUAUUGUUUAAGGAAGCAUAUUAGGCAUUGUUUUGAGCGUCUUCUUGAAAUCCGUAUUUAAGAAUUAAGACUAAGUUGAUUCGAGACUAUUAGUGUGAACUUGAAUUGAGGGAUGCUCUCUGUUUUUGUUGUUUUUGUUGCACUAUUAUGUGUUUAAUUCUGCUGCUUGUUAGAGUCUGCUGCUACUGUUAAUUAUGUUACUGCUACUGUUAAUGCUGCUACUGUUAAGUGUUAAUUCUGCUACUGUUAUUCUGUUAA